rnacentral:lncRNA from 1 species
GUGGAUAUUUCGAACAUUUGAGUUUUCGUUCAAAUCCAUUAUUGGGUAGCCCCAACUUGAUGUUUUUGAAAGAAUAUGCGGUGAUUUCGAGGGCAACAAGAACCGUUAUCGGCCGUAUGAAUGAAAUCCCAAAGUGCCGGCGAUUUAAUGAUGAAGCACAUUUUCUUAUAUGCACUUGGGGGCCCACCACUGAGCUCUACUAUAUAUAUCUGGAGAUCGUGCUCCCAUAUCUCGUCAAACAAAAAAGUGUCCGCAAAAACAUGGCGGAUUUCGAGCUCCGCGUCCACUAUUUUCGGGCGAUUUACCACUGACCACAUAAUAUUUUUGAAAGCCACCUGUUUUCGCACCCCCCUGGAUGCAAAAAGUAUACACUGUGUAAUUAUUAAACUAUCAAGUUUCACAACUUUAUAUUUUGUCAACAUGCCGCGUUAAUAUUGCUCGGUUUAUGGUUGUCACAACUCCUUUGACAAAGACGGAUUGUAUUCACACUGUCACUGGUAAGGAAAUAUUAUUUUGUGCUUAGAUAUCAUUCGAGAAGUUUUUUCUGUAGUUUAUGUUUUGUUCACGUGCAUGUGUCACAUACCAGCUUUUCUCGACUAUGGCCUCCUUUCUGAUGUUUUUGCAUGCAGUUUGUUUCAUUCAAAUAUUAUAUUUCCAUUGUUCCUUGUGAUGUUCUCAUGUGCGUUUUUCCUACCUACUGUACAGUGUAUUUUAUAGGCCUGUUUGUAUUUAUGAAAGCAUAUUGUUAUUGAAUUUUUUCCCUUCACAUAUUUAAGUAUUCCUGAUGCAAAGAAGCAUCCAGAGUUGUACAGCGUAUGGGUUGAGUAUAUGAAUAAACAUGCGACAGUGAAGUCUGUUCCUGCGAAAAGUAGUCGUUUGUGUUCAGAUCACUUUAGUGCUGAUAUGUAUGAGAUAAAGGGCAAAAGCCAGAAAUUAGUAUUGAGACUGGAUGCUAAUACCAACAAUAGUUACACAAAGGUUUGCUCAGGUCAUUGGUGCGAUUUAAAGUGUUAUAUGUAACAGUGUGCAUGAGUUACAUUCUUUGCUAAGGGACAAGUCAUUAUUAAUGCCGGGUAGGGGGCUGGACGAAAUUUUUAUGAAUAGCAAAAAUUUUUCAUGACCCCUUAUUUUUCUAACAAACUAUUUUAUCCCCCCCCUCCACCCCAAUUCUGAAUUCAAUUACUCUAAGUCAGUUUCAUAACCAUUUUUCCUGCCCUCAUACUCAGUUUACUUGCAG